rnacentral:rRNA from 1 species
AGAGUUUGAUCAUGGCUCAGGAUGAACGCUAGCGGCAGGCCUAAUACAUGCAAGCCGAACGGUAAGUUUGAUAGCAAUAUUGAACCUAGAGUGGCGUAAGGGUGCGUAACACGUAUGCAAUCUACCCGCAACAGGAGGAUAGCUCCCCGAAAGGGGAAUUAACCCUCCAUGAGAUCACACGAGGGCAUCUGAGAGUGAUUAAAUCUGAGGAGGUUGUGGAUGAGCAUGCGACUGAUUAGCUAGUUGGCAGUGUAACGGACUACCAAGGCGAUGAUCAGUAGGGGAACUGAGAGGUUGAUCCCCCACACUGGCACUGAGAUACGGGCCAGACUCCUACGGGAGGCAGCAGUAGGGAAUAUUGGUCAAUGGGUGAGAGCCUGAACCAGCCAUGCCGCGUGCAGGAAGAAGGCCUUCUGGGUUGUAAACUGCUUUUGCCGGGGGAUAAAAGACCCUUGCGAGGGAAAUUGAAGGUACCUGGUGAAUAAGCCACGGCUAACUACGUGCCAGCAGCCGCGGUAAUACGUAGGUGGCAAGCGUUGUCCGGAUUUAUUGGGUUUAAAGGGUGCGUAGGCGGUUGAUUAAGUCAGUUGUGAAAUACGGCAGCUUAACUGUCGAGGUGCAAUUGAUACUGGUUGACUUGAGUACAGACGAGGUAGGCGGAAUUGACGGUGUAGCGGUGAAAUGCAUAGAUAUCGUCAAGAACACCGAUAGCGAAGGCAGCUUACUAGACUGUAACUGACGCUGAGGCACGAAAGUGUGGGGAUCAAACAGGAUUAGAUACCCUAGUAGUCC